CGGAAAGCACCAUUGCUGAAUGGUACCCUUGUUAGGGCUUGUAUAAAGACUGUUGAAGCCCACAAACCCAUGUUUAGUAGCCCACUCAGUAAACAUGACGACCCGUGUUAAUCAAAAUGGGUUUCACAAGAUCUUUUGGUUAACAAACUCAAACUUCUUUUUACACAAUACCUCGGAGGAGCUGUAUAGGUGAGGUUCUUGGAAACGAUUUUCUCUUCCAAAAUUGUCCCCACUCUCUCUUCUUCAAGAACAAAUUCUGGACGAAAUCGAAAAAGAUUCGAAAAGUGACUACUGAGAUGAGCAUUUUCAAAUCAAAUGGUCUAUUAGAGCAUCCACUAUACUAUCCGCCCCGAAACUGCCGCCGCCGCGGCUAACUAUAGUGGGAGAAGCGUCCGCUCCGGUACGGAAGGGCGAUCGGCGACUAGGCGCCGAGGACGCGCCGGGCGCGGUGCGCGGCGGUGAGCGGCGUGCCGGUAGGGGGCGUACAAAUUUUUUUUUCCAUUUUUUUAAAAAUUUAUUUAAUUUACCUAUAAAUACACUUCAUUUUCCUCGUUAUUUUCACAACAUUCCAACUCUUUAUUCAUACUUUCUCUCAUUAAAAUUUGUGGAUUCCAUUGGUAUUAAAAA